GUGUCAGCAGCCGCGGUAAUUAGAAACCCCUGUAGUCCGAGUGAUGGCCGAUCUUAUUGGGCCUAAAGCGUCCGUAGCUGGCCGCACAAGUCCAUCGGAAAAUCCACCCGCCCAACGGGUGGGCGUCCGGUGGAAACUGUGUGGCUUGGGACCGGAAGGCGCGACGGGUACGUCCGGGGUAGGAGUGAAAUCCCGUAAUCCUGGACGGACCGCCGAUGGCGAAAGCACGUCGCGAGGACGGAUCCGACAGUGAGGGACGAAAGCUAGGGUCUCGAACCGGAUUAGAUACCCCUGUAGUCC
rnacentral:rRNA from 1 species